rnacentral:rRNA from 1 species
UUCGCAAUGCCCGAAAGGGUGACGAAGCGACGCCGCGUGUGGGAAGAAGGCCUUCGGGUUGUAAACCACUGUCGGGAGUUAAGAAAUACAAGGAUAUUAAUAGUGUCUUUGUUUGACUAAGGCUCCGGAGGAAGCCACGGCUAACUCUGUGCCAGCAGCCGCGGUAAUACAGAGGCGGCAAGCGUUGUUCGGAAUUAUUGGGCGUAAAGAGCACGUAGGCGGCCCUGCAAGUCAGCUGUGAAAUCCUUCUGCUCAACGGAAGAACGGCAGUUGAUACUACAGGGCUCGAGUGCGGGAGGGGAGAAUGGAACUUCUGGUGGAGCGGUGAAAUGCGUAGAUAUCAGAAGGAACAUCGGCGGCGAAAGCGACUCUCUGGCCCGUAACUGACGCUGAGGUGCGAAAGCUAGGGGAGCAAACGGGAUUAGAUACCCCGGUAGUCCUAGCCGUAAACGAU